GAUUGGGCCGGGCCUCACCGAGCGCGCCCAGGAGGCCGUAGUUCUCGCGCAUCACAUCCCGAUACAGAGUCCUCUGAGCGGGCCGCAGACACCCCCACUCCUCCGAGGAGAAGUACACGGCCACGUCCGCGAACUUCAAGGCCCUUGGCUUCCUGCCCCUUUUCCGAGUAGGUGCAGCCUCUCCGGGUGCCCGUAGGAGAAGCGGAGCCGAAGGUGGCGCCAUCGGACCUGCUCUUCGGCCUUGCCACGGGGACCCGGAGACCUAGAAGCUCCGUCGGGAAGACCGGGAGGAAAUCUGAAUCGGCUGCCUGAGGGGCCGGGCGGCCCGGCACAGACCGCCCCAACCGUUAUUCAGGGAACUCUCGCUGGAACUUGGGUGAGAGGCACCGGAAGAUGCCUUCGGGGAAGAUGGCGGCGCUGCUCCUGCACCACCGCUGCCUAGAACACAGGCAGGUUCCAGCUAUCGAUUUUAUUGACCCGAACGCCAUGCCGACUUCUUAACCUCCCUGCCCUAAAGUGUAAUGGCGCUGCGAGAUGGCUUCUUGCCUACUUUCCUCCUAUCUAUUGCAUUCGUUUAUUGGUUGGUAGCUGAAGAUCGGGCGUUCUGAUUGGGUAUCAGUGAAGGCGGCCCAUUUGAAUGAAGCCAACAGAUUCUUAAGGGCAAGAAGGUGGAUCCUGUGUCUAAGCUGGUUGUGAGAUGUGUUAUGAAUGGGAGGCUCUUGUGUUCUCCAGCGUUUGCCCUACUUGGAGAAGACGUUUCUACAGGUCUUCCAAAGGGAAAGUCACACAGUGUCAACAUGGAUUUUUGAACAGCUACAUCCUACGAUCAUAAAGUUCCUGUCACAGCCAGGAAUUCUGAAAAGUACUAGAUGAGAAGGGAGCGGUGAUAACGAUCUGAUGCACAAAUGGCGCGUCUGGUAGAACUGAAUGACUAGAAUG
ensembl:processed_transcript